rnacentral:rRNA from 1 species
CAGCCGCCACGGGAAUACGGAGGGAGCUAGCGUUGUUCGGAAUUACUGGGCGUAAAGCGCGCGUAGGCGGUUACUCAAGUCAGAGGUGAAAGCCCGGGGCUCAACCCCGGAACUGCCUUUGAAAUUAGGUGACUAGAAUCUUGGAGAGGUCAGUGGAAUUCCGAGUGUAGAGGUGAAAUUCGUAGAUAUUCGGAAGAACACCAGUGGCGAAGGCGACUGACUGGACAAGUAUUGACGCUGAGGUGCGAAAGCGUGGGGAGCGAACAGGAUUAGAUACCCGCGUAGUCCCUGUCUCUUAUAU